rnacentral:rRNA from 1 species
AGAGUGAACGCUGGCGGCAGGCCUAACACAUGCAAGUCGAACGGCAGCACAGGGGAGCUUGCUCCCUGGGUGGCGAGUGGCGGACGGGUGAGGAAUGCGUCGGAAUCUGCCUUUUCGUGGGGGAUAACGUAGGGAAACUUACGCUAAUACCGCAUGCGACCCUGUUCCGGGAGGUUCAGGGUGAAAGCGGGGGACCUUCGGGCCUCGCGCGGAAAGAUGAGCCGACGCCGGAUUAGCUAGUUGGCGGGUAACGCCACCAAGGCGACGAUCCGUAGCUGGUCUGGAGGGGAUGAUCAGCCACACUGGAACUGAGACACGGUCCAGACUCCGUACGGGAGCAGCAGGUGGGAAUAGUUGGACAAGUCGGGCACAAGCCUAGACUCCAGCCAG